UUUAUGUGUUGAUUAUGUUUCGUAUCAGUAAUACAAGUCUAAAAAACUGAUUCAAAUGAUCAAGUUAACACAAUGAAGUAAAGAGUACUGGUAAUCUGCAGCUAUUUUCAUAAUUUCAAGGUAAAAUUCUGAUGUGUGAUUUUCUAGCUUUGCAGAUGUGGAAAUCCAAUGCACUGAUUUCUUAUACACAGAUGCUUUUGGUGUUUUUUGUUGUAAAAUAAAACAAGGCAUUUAUCACUGUUGGAAAUGAUUACAGGUAUUAUUUGUAACACUUUCUAACAUUGUAUGGACAAAGCAAUAAAUCAGUUAAUGGAUAAAAUCAUUUGUAUUACAGAUGCUAUCAACAGCAUGUCUUGUUCAUUUUAUUUAGUUGUCGGCCUUGGAUGAUGAGGUCCAGUUACCAGGAGCACUAGUCUGCAGCUUACUGGUUCCGUCCUGCAGCUCCUCCACGCCGUCCUCCUCUCUACAGACCAAAUCAAGAAAAGGGAACCAGGAAGCUGCUGUGGAUCCUCUGCAGUAUCUGGAGAGGUCAGAGGAACGGUUCUUGGAACAGAUCGGAAGACACCAAGACGUGACCUCUGCCAUGCUCCAGAACAUCCAGAAGAUGAAUGAAAACCUUGGUUGCACUGAUGGGACGCAUGGUGUCGGUGCUGGAGCAACUGUCCCAGAAUUAAACUGCAUUGUUGACGAUUGGCUUUUCUAGAAAAUAAAUCUUUUUUAGUACUUCA